GAUCAAAGUGUAGUAUCUGUUCUUAUCAGCUUAAUAUCUGAUACGUUCCCCAUCGGGGAACUUCGAUAUUAAACUGAUUUUUGUAACCAGGCGAAGAUUCAGGGGCUUGCUCCGACUUCGCCACGGGUUGGC
rnacentral:snRNA from 1 species